GGAUUAUUAGUUUAAUAAAAAAUGUUGGUUUUGUAAGUCAAAGAUAAUUUAAUAUUAUAGUCCU
rnacentral:tRNA from 1 species